UACGUAUGGGGCAAGCGUUAUCCGGAUUUACUGGGUGUAAAGGGAGCGUAGACGGCGAUGCAAGCCAGAUGUGAAAGCCCGGGGCUCAACCCCGGGACUGCAUUUGGAACUGUAUAGCUAGAGUGUCGGAGAGGCAGGCGGAAUUCCUAGUGUAGCGGUGAAAUGCGUAGAUAUUAGGAGGAACACCAGUGGCGAAGGCGGCCUGCUGGACGAUGACUGACGUUGAGGCUCGAAGGCGUGGGGAGCAAACAGG
rnacentral:rRNA from 1 species